UGCCCAACAACUCCUAUCCCUACCUCCACGCGGUACCGGCCGGAAACUAUGAGCAACCUUAGGGAAGAUCGAGUAACCAACCCCGGUGGGAACUUUGGUCGUAGGCUGACAGGGAAGG
rnacentral:ribozyme from 1 species